GACGAACGCUGGCGGCGUGCUUAACACAUGCAAGUCGAACGGAAAGGCCCUGCUUUUGUGGGGUGCUCGAGUGGCGAACGGGUGAGUAACACGUGAGUAACCUGCCCUUGACUUUGGGAUAACUUCAGGAAACUGGGGCUAAUACCGGAUAGGAGCUCCUGCUGCAUGGUGGGGGUUGGAAAGUUUCGGCGGUUGGGGAUGGACUCGCGGCUUAUCAGCCUGUUGGCGGGGUAGUGGCUUACCAAGGCUUUGACGGGUAGCCGGCCUGAGAGGGUGACCGGCCACAUUGGGACUGAGAUACGGCCCAGACUCCUACGGGAGGCAGCAGUGGGGAAUAUUGCACAAUGGGCGGAAGCCUGAUGCAGCAACGCCGCGUGCGGGAUGACGGCCUUCGGGUUGUAACCGCUUUCGCCUGUGACGAAGCGUGAGUGACGGUAAUGGGUAAAGAAGCACCGGCUAACUACGUG
rnacentral:rRNA from 1 species